AACGAACGCUGGCGGCAUGCCUAACACGUGCAAGUCGAACGAAACCAAGGCUUCGGCCUGAAGUUUAGUGGCGCACGGGUGCGUAACGCGUGGGAAUCUGCCCUUGGGUUCGGAAUAACUCAGAGAAAUUUGAGCUAAUACCGGAUGAUGACGUAAGUCCAAAGAUUUAUCGCCCAAGGAUGAGCCCGCGUAAGAUUAGCUUGUUGGUGAGGUAAAGGCUCACCAAGGCGACGAUCUUUAGCUGGUCUGAGAGGAUGAUCAGCCACACUGGGACUGAGACACGGCCCAGACUCCUACGGGAGGCAGCAGUGGGGAAUAUUGGACAAUGGGCGAAAGCCUGAUCCAGCAAUGCCGCGUGAGUGAUGAAGGCCUUAGGGUUGUAAAGCUCUUUUACCAGGGAUGAUAAUGACAGUACCUGGAGAAUAAGCUCCGGCUAACUCCGUGCCAGCAGCCGCGGUAA
rnacentral:rRNA from 1 species